rnacentral:rRNA from 1 species
AUUGAACGCUGGCGGCAUGCCUUACACAUGCAAGUCGAACGGUAGAAGGAGCAAUCCUUCGAGAGUGGCGAACGGGUGAGUAAUACAUCGGAACGUACCUGGUAGUGGGGGAUAGCCCGGCGAAAGCCGGAUUAAUACCGCAUAAGACCUGAGGGUGAAAGCGGGGGACCGUAAGGCCUCGCGCUACCGGAGCGGCCGAUGUCAGAUUAGCUAGUUGGUGGGGUAAAAGCCUACCAAGGCGACGAUCUGUAGCUGGCCUGAGAGGACGACCAGCCACACUGGGACUGAGACACGGCCCAGACUCCUACGGGAGGCAGCAGUGGGGAAUUUUGGACAAUGGGCGCAAGCCUGAUCCAGCCAUGCCGCGUGCGGGAAGAAGGCCUCGGUUGUAA